AUUGAACGCUGGCGGCAGGCCUAACACAUGCAAGUCGAACGAGUGGCGGACGGGUGAGUAAUGUCUGGGACACUGCCCGAUGGAGGGGGAUAACUACUGGAAACGGUAGCUAAUACCGCAUACCAUCGGAUGUGCCCAGAGGGGAUUAGCUAGUAGGUGGGGUAAAGGCGCACCUAGGCGCCGAUCCCUAGCUGGUCUGAGAGGAUGACCGGCCACACUGGAACGGAGACACGGUCCAGACUCCUACGGGAGGCAGCAGUGGGGAAUAUUGGACAAUGGGCGCAAGACUGAUGCAGCCAGGCCGCGUGUAUGAAGAAGGCCUUCGGGUUGUAAAGUACUUUCAGCGGGGAGGCGUUACUCGCAGAAGAAGCACCGGCUAACUCCGUGCCAGCAGCCGCGGUAAUAC
rnacentral:rRNA from 1 species